rnacentral:rRNA from 1 species
UGUAAGCGUAUACCAAAGUUGUUGCAGUUAAAACGCUCGUAGUCGGAAUUAGGCAGUUCCGGAUGUGUGCACGUCGUGUGCGCACUUCGCGGGGAUUGCUUUUGUGGUCUUGCGUAGGAUGAGGCACUUUUAUUAGUGAACGUCCUCACGCAACCACUUUUUACCGUGAGAAAAUCAGAGUGCUCAAAGCAGGCAUUUGCCGUGAAUGUAUUAGCAUGGAAUAAUAGAAUAGGACUUGGUUCUAUUUUGUUGGUUUGUUGGGACUGAGUAAUGAUUAAGAGGGACAGUUGGGGGCAUUUGUAUUUCGGUGCUAGAGGUGAAAUUCUUAGAUUACCGAAAGACAAACUGCUGCGAAAGCGUCUGCCAAGGAUGUUUUCAUUGA